UGGGGAAUUUUGGACAAUGGGGGCAACCCUGAUCCAGCAAUGCCGCGUGUGUGAAGAAGGCCUUCGGGUUGUAAAGCACUUUUGUCCGGGAAGAAAUCGCACCUGAUAAUACCGGGUGUGGAUGACGGUACCGGAAGAAUAAGGACCGGCUAACUACGUGCCAGCAGCCGCGGUAAUACGUAGGGUCCAAGCGUUAAUCGGAAUUACUGGGCGUAAAGCGUGCGCAGGCGGUUGUGCAAGACCGAUGUGAAAUCCCCGGGCUUAACCUGGGAAUUGCAUUGGUGACUGCACGGCUAGAGUGUGUGAGGGGGGGGUAGAAUUCCACGUGUAGCAGUGAAAUGCGUAGAGAUGUGGAGGAAUACCGAUGGCGAAGGCAGCCCCCUGGGAUAACACUGACGCUCAUGCACGAAAGCGUGGGGAGCAAACAGG
rnacentral:rRNA from 1 species